UGUCGUCAGCUCGUGUCGUGAGAUGUUGGGUUAAGUCCCGCAACGAGCGCAACCCUUAUCUUCAGUAGCCAGCAGGUAAAGCCGGGCACUCUGGAGAGACUGCCGGGGAUAACCCGGAGGAAGGUGGGGAUGACGUCAAAUCAUCAUGCCCCUUAUGAUUUGGGCUACACACGUGCUACAAUGGCGUGAACAGAGGGAAGCGAGCCCGCGAGGGGGAGCAAAUCCCAAAAAUAACGUCCCAGUUCGGAUUGUAGUCUGCAACCCGACUACAUGAAGCUGGAAUCGCUAGUAAUCGCGGAUCAGAAUGCCGCGGUGAAUACGUUCCCGGGUCUUGUACACACCGCCCGUCACACCAUGGGAGUCGGAAAUGCCCGAAGUCUGUGACCUAACCGCAAGGGAGGAGCAGCCGAAGGCAGGUCGGAUGACUGGGGUGAAGUCGUAACAAGGUAGCCGUAUCGGAAGGUGCGGCUGGAUCACCUC
rnacentral:rRNA from 1 species